rnacentral:rRNA from 1 species
GCUCGUAGUUGAAUUUUUGGAUUGCGCUGCGGUCCACCUAGCGGUGAGCACUGCAGUGCUGAUUCUUCCUUUCUGGCUAGCCAUGCUGCCCUUCACUGGGUGGUGUGGUGAACCAGGAGUUUUACUGGGAAAAAAUUAGAGUGUUCAAAGCAGGCUUACGCUUGAAUACAUUAGCAUGGAAUAAUAGAAUAGGACUUUGGUUCUAUUUUGUUGGUUUCUAGGACUGAAGUAAUGAUUAAUAGGGACAGUUGGGGGCAUUACUAUUUAAUUGUCAGAGGUGAAAUUCUUGGAUUUAUGAAAGACUAACUUCUGCGAAAGCAUUUGCCAAGGAUGUUUUCAUUAAUCAAGGACGAAAGUUAGGGGAUCGAAGACUAUUAGAUACCGUCUUAUUCUUAACCAUAAACUAUGCCAACUCAAGAUCGGUGGAACGUCAUUUACCCAUCCAUCGGCGCUGGAUGAGAAAUCAAAGUUUUUGGGUUCUGGGGGGAGUAUGGUCGCAAGGGUAAAACUUAAAGGAAUUGAAGGAAGGGCACCACCAAGAGUGGAGCCUGCGGCUUAAUUUGACUCAACACGGGAAAACUUACCAGGCCAGAAAAUAAAAAGGAUUGACAGAUUGAGAGCUCUUUCUUGAUUUUAUGGGUGGUGGUGCAUGGCCGUUCUUAGUUGGUGGAGU